GACGAACGCUGGCGGCGUGCUUAACACAUGCCAGUCGAACGGAAAGGCCCUGCUUUUGUGGGGUGCUCGAGUGGCGAACGGGUGAGUAACACGUGAGUAACCUGCCCUUGACUUUGGGAUAACUUCAGGAAACUGGGGCUAAUACCGGAUAGGAGCUCCUGCUGCAUGGUGGGGGUUGGAAAGUUUCGGCGGUUGGGGAUGGACUCGCGGCUUAUCAGCUUGUUGGUGGGGUAGUGGCUUACCAAGGCUUUGACGGGUAGCCGGCCUGAGAGGGUGACCGGCCACAUUGGGACUGAGGUACGGCCCAGACUCCGACGGGAGGCAGCAGUGGGGAAUAUUGCACAAUGGGCGGAAGCCUGAUGCAGCAACGCCGCGUGCGGGAUGACGGCCUUCGGGUUGUAAACCGCAUUCGCCUGUGACGAAGCGUGAGUGACGGUAACGGGUAAAGAAGCACCGGCUAACUACGUG
rnacentral:rRNA from 1 species